rnacentral:rRNA from 1 species
UACGGAGGGAGCUAGCGUUGUUCGGAAUUACUGGGCGUAAAGCGCACGUAGGCGGAUCGAUCAGUCAGGGGUGAAAUCCCAGAGCUCAACUCUGGAACUGCCUUUGAUACUGUCGAUCUGGAGUAUGGAAGAGGUGAGUGGAAUUCCGAGUGUAGAGGUGAAAUUCGUAGAUAUUCGGAGGAACACCAGUGGCGAAGGCGACUCACUGGUCCAUUACUGACGCUGAGGUGCGAAAGCGUGGGGAGCAAACAGG